AGUUCAACACCGACCCCCCUGACGACGUCGUUCGGGGACGAAAUCAUCAACAAACGUCAUUACACAGAAACGACUCGUCGUACAAUUCAUCUCCGACUCCCAGCGGCAUCUGGAAGAAGAAAGGAAAGCAAAACACUCUCCGCUCGCUGCGAGUGUAGCAAACAAACAGUUGAAUCCCCUCCCGAAGCUCAACGACGCCGUUUUAACUUUGCAGCAAGCACCGCCUGCACUGUGCAAACCCUAGUUUUCUUCUUCUUCGCACCAUGUCCUCCGAAGACAUAACUCUCGUCACCGACCAGAGGAUCGAAAACGGUCUCAACUCCCCUCUCGUCUUCCAAGACAACCCUCUCCGCUUCAGUUGCCCCGACCCGACCCGUCGGGUCCCCGACCGGGGCCCAAAAUCCCGCGAACUCGGCACAUUCAUCGACGACAAGAUGUUCAUCGAUCGCGACCGCUUCUUCGCCGCCCAGGGCGCCGAUUUCCGCCGCGCCAACGUCUACGCCGACUGCUCCGCCCGCCGCGACGCGCCCGACGCCCGCAAUUGGAGCGCCAGCGAGGACGACGAUUCCGAUGACGAAGAUGACGACGAUGAUGACGACGACGACGCCGAAGUAGAAGGACUCGUUGGCGACGGAACCAAAACCGACGUUAACAACAACAACGGCGAUGGUAAUUUGCCUGCUGUUGCGAACGGGAAAGCCCACGCUUAUGUUUCCGGAAGAGAACUAUUGGUGAAGGAUGGUGGAGACAUUGGGCAAUUGGUGCAUAACAAUGUGAGUGGUGGUGAUGAGGAUCAUCGGCAAGAGGGGUUAGGUAAGUCUCAGAAUUCUGGUACUGUUGCUGAGACUGACUGUGAGGAGUACUAUUCGCACUAUCUUCAAGGUGGUGAAGGGGCUUCUGUGCAGAAAGUUAUGGUGGAUGACAAUGGUUGCGGGUUUAGUGGGAGAAAGGAUGUUAUGUAUUCCAGCGAGUCAGGGGAGUCACUCAGGGCAAUUCUUUCAGAUCCUGUUACGGGUGCUCUUAUGGAUGAUGCGAUGAUAUUACCAUGUGGACAUUCAUUUGGUGGAGGUGGAAUACAGCAUGUUAUUAGAAUGAAAGCUUGCUGCUCUUGUUCUCAACCCACGACUGAAGAAUUAAUAUCUCCAAACCUAUCACUUCGAGCUGCUGUGCAGGCAUAUCGUCGGGAAGAGGAGACACAGUUUUACCGGUCACCUAAAAGAAGAAGAGAGAGAUUUGAUCAGGACAGGGUGGUUUUGGAGAUGCAGCUGUUAUGGAAACAUCGAGGAGUAGAGGUGUUCAGUUUCCAUUUGCUGUCAUGGACCGGGUCAUCAUAAAGGGAAACAAAAGGACACCACAACGAUUUGUUGGGCGCGAAGCUAUUGUAACAACGCAAUGCCUAAAUGGAUGGUAUGUGGUGAAGACAUUGGACAAUGCAGAGAGUGUAAAGUUGCAGUAUCGAUCCCUGGCCAAGGUUUUGGAUGAUCCUUCAAAACCUGCCUCCAGCAAGAUGGCACCUAAUUGGCUUUAGAUCUGCAGCACACCUUCAUCAAAUACUUGUACUAGAUGCCACUACAUUUUGAGCGUUCAAUCGCUGACAUACCAACAGAAAUUCUUCUUUGUAAUUCCAUUGUUGUAUUCCUUGCGACAAAACUGUGCUAGCUGAGUUUGUAAAUAUAUAUAAACCUUACUUUACCAUGCUUUGUGCUCGUUGAGAUUGUAGUAUCUCCCUAAUCAUUUUGUUAUACAUACUCUAACAGAAUAUAUAUUUUCUUUUUUUUUAUUUUUUAUUUUAAUUUUUAAGUGACCAGAUUUAUUCAA